GCGGGUCUGCUAGCAAGGUGGAUGGCUUGUGCGGCCAAUUGCGUUUCGACAUUUGAGUGUCGUCUCAAACAGUCGUCAGCUGACACCAUUCAGCACUGUUGCCAGGAAAUAGAUGUCGUCCUGGCUGUACACUGAAGGCUGGCUCUUACUGGGGCUGCUGAAAUACUUGGCCAUCUGACCCGGGUUGUUCUGAUCCUCUUCAAAGUUCCGCCACUCAGCCAGCUGCGUGGAGCGCAGGGUGAAGAGCAGGAAGCAAAAGGCCAGCACGAUGCCGCAGGAGAGCAGCGUCCACACCACGGCGCUCAGCACAGGUGAGAGGGAGCGCCUCGGAGGAUCCGCGGUCAUCUGAGAAGACAGGAAGUUAUGAAGUCGCCAACAAGCAAGCGUUACAUCGACAUUGAAGGUUCUACUCUGCAUCUGACUGCUUUUUGGGUCACCAUAUUGCCCUGAGCAGCCAGGACGAGUGUUUUACUUUUCUACAUGAUGGUAAGUUCGAGGGCUGCGAAUCUUUGGGUGUCCCACGAUUCGAUUGAAUAUCGAUUCUUGGGGUCACGAUUCGAUUAUAAAUCGAUUUUUUUUUUCUAUUCACCGCAAUUCUCCAUUCAAAAACGAUAUUUUCCCGAUUCAAAAGGAUUCUCUAUUCAUUCAAUACAUAGGAUUUCAGCAGGAUCUACCCCAGUCUGCUGACAUGCAAGCAGAGUAGUAGAUUUUUGUAAAAAUCUUUUAUAAUUGUAAAGGACAAUGUUUUAUCAACUGAUUGCAAUAAUGUAAAUGUGUUUUAACUAUUAAAUGAACCAAUAAUAUGACUUAUUUUAUCUUUGUGAAAAUAUUGGACAGUGUGUUGUCAAGCUUAUGAGAUGCGAUGCAAGUGUAAGCCACUGUGACACUAUUGUUCAUUUUUAUUUAUUUUUAUAAAUGUCUAAUGAAAAUGUCAAUCAGGGAUUUUUAAUCACUGCUAUGUUGAAAUUGUUACUAAUAUUGAUACUGUUGUUGAUAAUAUUCAUUUUUGUUUCACUACUUUUGGAAUGUUCUGUGUCGUGUUUGUGUCUCCUCUCAAUUGCUCUGUUUAUUGCUGUUCUGAGUGUUGCUGGGUCGGGUUUGGUUUUGGAAUUGGAUUGCAUUGUUAUGGUAUUGCUGUGUAUUGUUUUGUUGGAUUGAUUAAUAAAU